rnacentral:ncRNA from 4 species
UACGUAUGGGGCAAGCGUUAUCCGGAAUUAUUGGGCGUAAAGAGUGCGUAGGUGGUUACCUAAGCGCAAGGUUUAAUCUUGAGGCUCAACCUCAUUCUGCCUUGCGAACUGGGCUACUUGAGUGCAGGAGGGGAAAGCGGAAUUCCCAGUGUAGCGGUGAAAUGCGUAGAUAUUGGGAAGAACACCGGUGGCGAAGGCGGCUUUCUGGACUGUAACUGACACUGAGGCACGAAAGCGUGGGGAGCAAACAGG